rnacentral:rRNA from 1 species
AUUUUCCGGUUGAUCCUGCCGGACCCUACAGCUAUCGGGAUGGGACUAAGACAUGCUAGUCGAGCGCUUCCUAGCCACGCUGGAAGCGCGGCACACAGCUCAGUAACACGUGGCUAACCUACCCUUGGGACAGAAACACCCCCGGGAAACUGGGGCUAAUUUCCGAUAGGUGAAGACACCUGGAAUGGAUCUUCGCCGAAAAGGCGCCCAGAGCACGCUUCUAGACGCUGCCCAAGGAUGGGGCCGCGGCCGAUCAGGUUGUUGGUGAGGUAACGGCUCACCAAGCCUUUAACCGGUACGGGCCGUGGGAGCGGUAGCCCGGAGAUGGGCACUGAGACAAGGGCCCAGGUCCUACGGGGCGCAGCAGUCGCGAAAACUUCGCAAUAAGCGAAAGCUUGACGGGGCCAUCCCGAGUGCCAUCUGCUGAGGAUGGCUUUUACCCAGUAUAGAUAGCUGGGAGAAUAAGGAGAGGGCAAGUCUGGUGUCAGCCGCCGCGGUAAUACCAGCUCUCCGAGUUGUAGGGAUGUUUAUUGGGCCUGAAGCAUCCGUAGCCGGCUGGACAAGUCCCCUGUUAAACCCAGCGACCAAUCGUUGGCCUGCGGGGGAUACUGUCCGGCUAGGGGGCGGGAGAGGCCGUCGGUAUUCUUGGGGUAGGGGGUGAAAUCCUAUAAUCCCAGGAGGACCACCAGUGGCGAAGGCUGUCGGCUAGAACGCGCCCGACGGUGAGGGAUGAAAGCUGGGGGAGCGAACCGGAUUAGAUACCCGGGUAGUCCCAGCUGUAAACGAUGCAGGCUAGGUGUUAGGGCGGCUACGUGCCGCUCUAGUGCCGCAGGGAAGCUGUUAAGCCUGCCGCCUGGGGAGUACGGCCGCAAGGCUGAAACUUAAAGGAAUUGGCGGGGGAGCACCACAAGGGGUGAAGCUUGCGGUUUAAUUGGAUUCAACGCCGGAAAU